GCGAGGCCACCGGGCCCGACGCGGCGAAACGCGGAGAACCAGCGGAGCCCGAGUUCCCCGAAUGCUGGCGCGGCUCCCUGAGGGGGUCCCGGGCAUGUGCGGUCCCCCGGCCCCCCCGGCUCAGCCUCUUGGGCUCUGACACGCUCGGUCUGCCAGCGGGCAGGGCUCUCGCGAUGGGGUCCUCCCGGCAGAGGGGACAGGAGCUGCUGACGGCCCCAGGACGCGGGUGUCCGCAGUGUGUUUAGGAAGCCGGUGGGCGGGAUCGGUUGACAGUAGUAGGACAUUGUCAGUCGCCUGGGCUUCACCACUCCCCCAAAUUGCUCCCUAAUUAGCAGUGCUAGUUUUCUUCUGAUAAUUCGGAUGGGGAUCCCAUUUCUCAGCACGGUGCUGAGCUAUUUAAGUGAACAAGCGGUCGCUUAUCAAGAGUGCAAAUGCUUUUAUGACCUCUGAGCUGUUCCCCCAUAACCCAAAGUGUCGUUUUCUUCGUUUCUCAAGGUCUCACCCAGCUCAAGUUAAGAGUGUUGAAGGAAAUGAAUGUAAAGGAAGCAAGCCGUUGGUUACCUCUUUGCUAGAGCAACACUGAAGAUAACUACUCUGACAGGGUCAUCAGAGAGAACUUUAGAGAAGAUGAACUAUUGGAGACGGGACAAGAAGAAUGCAUACAGCUUAAUAAGAACAUAAACAACACUCCAGGCAGAGGGUACAGGAAAGGCAUGGAUUAAAAGCCACAGCAGUGUCAAGAAACAGCAGUGUCAAGAAACAUUUUUAGAGCAAGACCUUUAAAACUGGUAAGGAAUGACAUCACCUAGAAGCUGUGGUAUCCUUAUGCCAUGAAGUAUUACUCUGUUUAAUGGACUGGGUCCCUACUAAACCGUAGACUUUGUUUGUUUUUGAGACAGGAUUUCUUUGUGUAACCCUGGCUGUCCUAGAACUCACUUUGUAGACCAGGCUGGAACUCACAGAGAUCCGCCUGCCUCUGCCUCCCAAGUGCUGGGAUUAAAGGCGUGUGCCACCACGACCAGCUAUAAGCCAUAGACUUCUAAAACAAAUGGGGGCAGAUUAGAAAAAUUGUAAAUAUAUAAGGAUAGUUGGGGGGGCGGUUAGUAGCAGAAGAGCUAGAUUUAAAGAAAUACUAAGCACCAGGUACAACGUAAGGAACUCAGUAUAAGAGUAAACAAGAUAGUCAGAAUCCCUGACCUAUGGAGCUUAGGAUCAGGAGGUAAAAUAGUCACCAUGAUUAUGUGCAUGACAGUCUAGUCUGCUCAUAAAUAUGACAUUCUAAAACAGAAAUACCCUUCAUGUUAGCCCCAGGAUGUUGCUUGUUUUACUUACUUAGCAGCCAAGUACUAUUCUGUGUAGAUACAAUCCGUGAACUACCUUCUGCCCAAGGGUUUUCAGCUCUAAAUAAGUAAACGGAGUGGUCUGAAUGUCUAAGUGUGACAGAACGGAAUCCACUAAAAGCAAAAGUGACUGACUGUGCAGAAAGAGAAACUGGGAGAAGGACAGCUACUCCUUCCAGUAUACAGGUACAUAAAAGAGUGUUUUAAAGGCUAAGGAAAAGCAAAAUUGUGGAAAACAUUCCAAAUACUGAAAUGCAGGGAAAUAGCUGCAGCAGUUGAGAAAGAAGAGAAAAUCACAGGUUAAAGCAAGCAAUAAAAAAACAAAAAAGUAUUUGACUCCUGAUUUUAAAAGGCAUUGCUAAAGUAAUUGUAAAGACCCUCAAAAAAGAAGAACCCACCCGCCCCCGUGUGCCCCCGGAAAUGCUGUGUCCUGGCUCCAGAACUCCAUUCCCAGCAGGCCACGGUGUUGUCAAAGGAGCCUGUCACAAGCUUCUGUUCAUCGAACUUCACAGCUGCACAAGUGUGGGUCUGGAUGCCGUAAACACACUGCCCUGUGCUUACAUCCCACAGCUUUGCAGACAAGUCGUCUGACCCUUGAAGAGAAAAACCAGGAAGGUUAGUGUGACCUAGACACCCUUGAGGAGGAGAAUCAGUCCCCUUAAAGAGGCUCUCCAUAGUCCCCUCUGGAGUGCUUCUGCUCUAAGGCUAAGAAACCCAAAGCACAGACAAUGUGAUUUGUUGGGCCUCAAAAUGGCUUUAAAUAUACUAAGACAGAACCCAUGCCUCUUGUCUUUGCCCCUUCAUCUUCUGGGUGAUAAAAAGAUAUUAGAUUAAAGCAGCUCUUCAUGCUUCUACUUGCAACAUUUCCUAUCUCUGGCUAUUAGAGCUUUCAGGUUUGACUGGGUUCAUCUUACCCUUGGCUGCAUGUUUACACUGACAUGCUUAUCUACUCACUACCCAACAAUCCUGAAUAAAUAAGGGCUGUUGACUUGGAAACCACAGUCCAUUCUAAGACAGGAUAAAGAUAAGCCUCAGGUCACUGGGUAACUGUCACAAAAGUCAACUGGUAAUUUCUUGAGCCAUCUUGAAAGAUGCCAAGGACCCUCAGUGAAUACUAGGGAUAAAUCACCUGCAAAUAUCCCUAUCAACUCACCAAGCGCUUAGGUUUGUAGGAAAAAAAGUUGGUUUUAUUUCUGUCUGUAGGAAGUGGAGGAAGCCCUGAGUGUGUAAACUUCUGAAUGAAUAUGUAUUUUGACAUGAGUAAGGUCUGUCGAUGACUCCAAGAGCAAUUGGCCAAUGGUAAAUUGGCAAAACUGUUACACAGGCUAAAAGGGAUGGCAAAGGUGUCCUUAUGAAUAUGUUUACAAAUGACUGACCAAUGUGUACAGAGACUGAGAACUACAGCUUCCACCUCCUGGCUAUUUACAAUUAGAGACUGGCUACCUAAGAUAUCUCUCAGUGAGACCAAGGAACCCUCCCACUGAGCUGUAACUAAUAAACACACUGAGGUUCUGGGUUACUGUGGUUAGAGAACCCCAUUUGAUCCCAGCUUCACUGUAUGCAUGUCUGUUCUUUCUUCAGGGUUCCCAGUCCCAAGUCACAUGGGACACAGCAUGGCCUCUGAUAAAAAGGUUAUACGAAUCAUGGUGAUAAUUCAGGACUGAAUUUUCAUUAAGUUUGAAAUCCCAAUUAUUAAAAUUUUGUCUCAAAACUUACUUUUAGAGGACCAACAAAUGACAUUUUGAGAAAUACUAAAUACAGUUACUCUGACCAGGACAUUGUAUUCUUGGAAAGCACCAACAAGUUGGUUUUCAAAGGCUGAAAUGGAAGAAAUGAGCAUACAAAGACAAACUCACAAACAGAAGGCUAAAGCAUUCUAGUUUAGAGUUGCAGAACUAACCUCAGUAAUCUUUAAAAGGUUGCUAGGCAAUUUUCCAUCUUCAAUAACACUCUUAAGAAGCAGAGGUCGGCAACAGUGUGCCAGACAGAAACCACAUAGAAUUUGUCUUCUAACAGUAAACAUGAAAACAGUGUAUUUUAUUUAACUCAUUUUGUCAAAAAUGCUAAUAUUUCAAAAUGUAACAGAUAAAGUAUCAAAAGGACA